GUGCCAGCAGCCGCGGUAAUACGAAGGGGGCUAGCGUUGUUCGGAAUUACUGGGCGUAAAGCGCGCGCAGGCGGCUCUUCAAGUCAGGGGUGAAAGCCCAGAGCUCAACUCUGGAAUUGCCUUUGAGACUGUAGAGCUUGAGUACGGGAGAGGUGAGUGGAAUUCCCAGUGUAGAGGUGAAAUUCGUAGAUAUUGGGAAGAACACCGGUGGCGAAGGCGGCUCACUGGCCCGUUUCUGACGCUCAGGCGCGACAGCGUGGGGAUCAAACAGGAUUAGAUACCCCCGUAGUCC
rnacentral:rRNA from 1 species